UCAGACGAUGCGUCAUGCAUAUCAAUAAGCGGAGGAAAAGAAACUAGCAAGGAUUCCCUCAGUAACGGCGAGUGAAGCGGGAAGAGCUCAAAUUUGAAAUCUUGAAAGGUCACCUUUCACGAAUUGUAGUUUAAAGAAGUGUUUUCUGUUACGAUCGUAAUAUAAGUUCUUUGGAAUAGGACAUCACAGAGGGUGAGAAUCCCGUCUAUGAUUGCGAUUUGUAGCUUUGUGAUACACUUUCAAAGAGUCGGGUUGUUUGGGAAUGCAGCCCAAAACGGGAGGUAAAUUUCUUCUAAGGCUAAAUAUUGGCGAGAGACCGAUAGCGAACAAGUACCGUGAGGGAAAGAUGAAAAGAACUUUGAAAAGAGAGUUAAACAGUACGUGAAAUUGUCAAAAGGGAAGCGUUUGACACCAGUGUUGUUUUCUCGAAAAUCAAUUAAAAAUGGCUCGAUUUUGUAUUGUUGAGACCUUAAAAGCUCACUGUACAUUUUUCGUGUCUUUUUUAAUGCACUUUUCGUUUAACAAGUCAACAUCAGUUUCUUUUGUUGUAAAAGGGUCAUUGGAAGGUGGCUUUCUUUUCGGAGAAAGUGUUUAUAGCCUUUGGCCUCUGCAAUCGGAGAGACUGAGGUCUGCAGCGUAGACUCUUCGGGGUUAGAUACAUUUGUGCUAAGUUAUAGCUUUUUAUAGACAACUUGUUGACUAUAAUUAGUCUUGUAGCUUACUCGCUUAUGCUAUUUUACCUACGCUUAGGAUGUUGACUGAUAUGUAGUCGUA
rnacentral:rRNA from 1 species